CCCAGAGCCCCCAGGACCCAUCCCUGAGCUGUUUGGGGAGACACAGGCAACCCCUUCUUUGGCUGGCUAGGGUUUCACGAGCCUCGGGAAAGAAGAUGCAGCUAAAAUUAACCGCUAUCAAGCUGUCAGCCCUGGAAAUAAACCUGCCUCCCAUUGGCUGCCGGUGACGUCACUGCUGGGUUAAUAAUAGCCGCCGAGUGCCUAACGAACCACCUGUGCAUGGGGCACAGCCAGGCCAUCACCCCGGGGCCACCGUCGCAGGCAGGUGGAGGCUGGCAGCCCAGAGGCAGACAGGGGCUUGGAGGCAGGGUGGGGAGCAAGGCCAAGGCCGCUCUCUGGCCCCCAGUGUCACAGGAUGACCUCAGCCCUGGCCUGGCCCCAGAGCAGGUUGGUUCACUGCUGGGCCCUGUGGACUUGUUCUCAUGCUUUGUCAGUGUCGAUGUCGAAAGCCCAAAGUGUUUCCCAAGUCCUGCUACCUUGGCUCUGUCCUGGGGGACGGAGCAGCAAGACACCCCUGCUGUCUGUGAAGAUAUGGCUGUUGGAAGGCAUGGGAGGGGCCUCGUAUCAGGGAACCAGUGAGUGGCCCCAGGCUGCCAGCCAACAAGAAAGCAGGGACCUCAGUCCUACAGCCACAAGGAACUGAAUUCUGCCAACAACCACGUGGCCUUCAAAGAGGACCUCAAGCUUCAGAAAGAAAUACCAACACCUUGGUGGCACUCUUGAAACCCCGAGCCACCCAGCGGAAUUGUGUGUGGGCUCCUGACCCCCCAAAACUGAG
rnacentral:lncRNA from 10 species